rnacentral:lncRNA from 1 species
GUUGGACAGCUUUAGAACAGAAAUCUUGACCGAAAUUCCUCCAAGAAAACCGAUGAACAGCCCCCUCUUCCAAGCUAGGAACAAAGCCCUCUAAUGGAUGAUGAAAUUUGGAAGUGGAUUGAGGUAAUUUUGUAAGGAUUUUGGCUAGAUUUUUCUUCCCAUCUUCUGCCCAAUAGAGAGUGACGAGAGGAGAGAGAAUGAAAUCAGGUAUUGUAAUGAAAGUGGAGAGAAUUGGAGCCUUAAGUCUAAGUGUCAACUCAUGCUAGGUCUGUUUAGGGUUUUCGCGUGUCCAAUUUUCGCGCUCGUUUGCAACUUUUGUGCACUAAACCUCUGAGGUAAUUUCCCUAGUACAUUAAUAGAACAUUACUAGUAGUCUAAUAUCAUGUUCUUAAAAUCUCCAAUUAAUCAAAUUAAUGUGCCUGUCGGGGCCUUUUCGGCACGCGCGCGUAUAAAGGUCAAACUUAAGGGUUUUUUCGUUUGAACUUGGAAAUUCAACUUAUUCGAUUCUAAAACUCUAAAAUAUGAUAAUCCAAAUAUAUAUAUAUAACAAUAAAAAUCACGAUAAGCAAUUCAUCUUGAAUAAAUUUGGGCAUUAAAAUAAUAUACGCGUAAAGAACCAAUCGGUAAAAUUUAUUUUCGAGAAAUUCAUGUACUUUAGUAUUUUUUUUUUGGGUAACUCGAGUACGAAAUAUUUUUAAAAUGACCAAUUUAACAAUAUUUUGAAAUAAUAAAAUUAUUGGUCCUCAUAUCCUCUCCCCCUUAAGAGAAUUUCGUUCUCGAAAUUCAUACCUUAACUCAAAAACUCCAGAUGUCACUUUUGCAUCCCAUUCUUACGAAUUGUAAAACUUUUUCUGCAUUAAAUAUCAUGUAAGUCUUGUAUUCUUAAUCUGUUCACGACGAGCGAGAUAACAAUUCCUUCAUGCGGUUCACAGAUUCAAUUGCCUCAAGAAAUUUGUCAAUUCAAGAACAAAUGAUGUAAUAGCCCUUUAAAUUGGUAUACGCAAUGAACUUUAAAUAUCUCGCAGAUCAAAUUCAAUAAGAUCUUAUUAGCACACAAGUUUUGUCCUACUGGACCUUAACCCUAGUAAUCUUUCAAAAUAGAUAGUAAGAGCCCUCAAGAAUCAAUAACUUCAAAAUCAUAUCUAGUUCCGUACACAUGUAUGCAAAUAUUGAAGUACGAAUUGAAACCUUACAUUCAAUAAUAUCUUAUUGUAGUCCCCAAGUCAUUUAUGAGUAUUAUUGCCAAUUUUUAACCCAAAUACGACUUAAAGACCCAAAUCCAUUAAUGCUACUGGUGUAUUCAUUACUCCCAAUGGCAUAAUUGAAUUUCAAAGUGCUUACUUUUCUGAUGAACUAGCCUUAAUCAUAUCUUCCUCUAGAAUCCUCAAUUAGUUGUAGACCUGUAUUAAAUCUAACUUGGAAAGUACUACUGUCUCUUGUAGAUACCCAAAUGAUUCAUUUAUGCAAGGUAAAAGAUAUUUAUUCCUGAUACCCACUUGAUUCCAGUCUCGAUAUUAUAGACAUGGCUUUCUCAAAAGGUUAUAAGCAUAACAAAAUUUAGAUAUACGAAUAAGUCAUGAAAUUGAUUAAAUGCAAAGUAAACUUUCAUUUGCUAUAAAAGACCAUAAUAGUUUCAUAAAGUUAGGAUAAGUUUAUCAAAUCAUUUCAAAAGAAAAGAGAAUAAACAAUAUUGUAGCAAAACAUGCUAAGUCAUCCAUGUUCAAAGCAACAAAAGAUUUCAUCCCUUACACAAAAGAUUACAACCUUCAAAAGUCUCAGCAUAGGCUAGGUUAUAAUCAUAAUUCCUGUCCUUAAGCAAAAUCAAAUCCAUCUUCACUCGUAGAGCUUCUAAUACUUUGGUUCUUCUCACAACCAUUAGUAUUAACAACUCCCUCUAACACUCGACUGUUUUGCAGCAGACUUAACGAGCUGCUGAGGAGUUCAUCGGGCAACUUAAAACUUAAUGCUCAGGACUCCCGCAUAGCAAGCAUUUGCUUGUUUCCUUCAGCCCAUAAUCUCAGUGUGAUUAAACUUGCCACAGUAUCCACAAGUUACGGCCUGAUUAGCUUGAGAAUUCUCCUUUUUCUUUUUCUUCUUUUCUCUCUGCUCCACAACAAAUUCAUGUUCACAUCUCUCUUUACGUUUCCCUUUUUUCAUUAUGGGAGUUUCCUUCACUACCCUUAACUUGGUUGCUAGAAAUAUACUGAGGUGAAACUUGAAUAGUGGGUCGCAUCCCCUCAAGUUUUUUUUUCUUUCCUGAAGUUCCUCCAAUACUCCUUCGUAUUUCUUUUUCAUUUCCAAUUUCUUGUUCCAUAAUUCCAUCUUCUCUACAAACUCUUGUUUGCAUCGUUCUUCCCAGAAUUCAACCAAUUUAGUCUGAAAUUCCAACUCCUUGCGAAGAACUUUUAUUUCUAUACGCAUCUCUUCCAAACUUUUCAUUUCAUCCAUUUGCUUAAUCCUAACUGUCAGCCUAUCAACAACUCAAAGCAUCUAAAUGAGUACCAAAUCAAAAUUUAAAACUUAACUAUCCACAACCUAUAAAUUCUCACGCAUCUAAGUCAUCCAGGUAUAUUUACUCUUACCUCUCCACGAAUUUGAUACGUAAGAAAAUUCACACCUACAAAUAAAGUAAUACCCCUUGAUAUAAUGAUAUGUACUUCCGUUCUAAGGUCUUACUCACGUAUGUAGUGAAACCAUAAAUUACACGCCAUAAGAAACAAGUUCCAAACCUUGACUAAAAACUGUUACGCACUAAUAAGACCAGAAUCCUUUUCCUCAAAAGUUUGUCUAAAUCAAAUCAAUCAUGACCUACAAGAUAAAGUCGAGACUUUUGAUAUAUUUUGAAUGUAUCUGUGGCAAAAUGCGAUUCAAAAUUUUCAAAAUUAUAGUUAAAGAUACAAAUUUUCUUCAUGAUCCAAAACUAAAUUUUCUUAGUAAGAGAUUUCAAAUAAUGUUUAACCACAAUCAUCAAUACAUAUUUCAAAUCUCUCAAAUAGAUUUAAGAAGAUUAAUCAUGCAACUUAAUGCAUGAAUUUUAAAACAUAUAUAUAAUAAUCAUAACAUAUACAUGGAGGGUGUUCCAACACUUUUCCUCAAAGUUUCGAGUUAAAUCUAUGUUCGGGUAAAGCGUAUAUUUUAGAAAAUACCUUUAAGAAAGAUAAAUAGACAUGUAGGUUCAUAUUCGCAUAACCUGUGAUCCAACACCUUUACCACCCUUUUAUAUCCAAACCAAGAGCUAACUCUACUAGUACAUAAAACCCGAUCAUUUCUAAUCUCUGAUUCAUAACAAAUAGGCAUUCAUGUUCCUAAGAAAAGAUUCGAACUUGAACUCUAUCUGAUUUCGAUUCUCAAACGAGUUCAAAAUGUGUAUACAUAUAUAUAUAUAUAUAUAUAUAAAUUUUGUGAAAAAGUAAAACAAGUGAAUCUGGGUAUAGUAAUUGUCAAGUAAAAUUGAAAGCGCUUUUGUUCAAGUAGAAUAAAUAGGUAAUGAGUUCAAAUCAUCUCACCAAACCAACGAAAUACUUUCGGAGUUCAAACUUCAUAAAAGUUGAAAGAUGGCCAUAGGACCACUCAUAAUAUACGUAUAAAGCAACUAUUAAAAUUUUGCACAAGAAAAUCUCAUCAAGUUCCCAACUAGGUUAAUCCAUUAUACACUGGUAGAUCUAAUCUUCUGGUUUAUUCUCGAUUCAUAUUCAGUACUAGGGUCUCAUUAAAUUAUAUAAGACUAUCCAUCAAUUUUGUCAUGAGUACAGGGUUGUCUAAACCCUGGGCCACGACCCCUUUUUCCCAUUCCUGCUGCUAUACUUAAUAGAAGUCUAUAAGCACAAGAAAAGGAAUAAUUAAGCAUAAAAGAACUUAAUGCAUAUACAAGUUGCAAAAAUAUUUAGAAUCAAAACAUGCUUCUUUACAUGUAUCAAAAGUUAUAGCAUGAGUUAGAAGUCACAAAACAAGCCCAAUAUGUCAAAUACUGCAUAUAGGCAAUUAAGUGCCACAAAAUAUAGAAGUAUAUGCAAGCAGGAUACAAAAGGCCUCACGGCGUGCACCACCCUUCCUAAGUCCUUAGUUAAACCAAAGGAUCCAAAUAUCACUAAUUUCAAUUAGAUCACAUGCCUUUCCGAAAUUAGAUCCAAUCAAACCAUAACACAAGCUGAAACCAAAGGUUAUCCAUUCGAAAUUCAAAAUCUUUAAUAAGCAAGCCACCAGCCAGAGUACCAUCAUCUCCAAGAAUAACCAGUCUUAGGGUUUUAUAGUUAAAGCCUCAAGCUCCAAGUUCAAACCCAAGAAAUAAGUACAACUUGCUAACUUACGUGUCAAAUGGAAACCAAGUCAAUUCACACUAACUUCGUGCUCUUGAAUGCGGUUAUUCUAUAUUUCAAAGUUCCUUCAGCCCGUACACCUAAAGAUAGGCUCACUCUUCUUGAAAACCAAGAAUUUUAAAACAUAAGAAGAGUAAUCAAAGUAACCAAAAAUCUUAUCAAGUUCAAGAUUUACAUUAUAAAAACAUAAGUUCGCCAUUCUUCCGAAAACUCAAGAUUUUUUUUUUUUGUAAAGCAUAGACAAAUUCAGGUGUGAGAAUACACCAGUAUACAAUCAAGGGGAAAAACUUAGUUUAGAAAAUUUUAAUCUUGUAUCAGCCCAUCAUAUACAAAAUUCAACAAACUCAUCAGUUAUUCACAAAUUUUCAGAUUGAAAUUCAAGUAAAAUUCACAUAUUUACCAAAAUCAGAAAAUUAUACAUACUUAAAGUAUAUAUAUAUUAUUUCCAAUCAUCGUUUGAAAAUAAAACUAGUACAUCCUCGUUUUUCUUUAGAAUUUCAAAGCAGAAAUUCUCUAGGAGGUAAAUGGGCGGGAAAAUGCAUUUUAUUCCUUUGAAACUCUUUUAUCUUGGUUCAAAAUCACCAUACAUGGAGUUUGAUCAUCAAAUCCCGGUCUCUUAUCCUCUAUAGCCAGUACUAAUAAUUGUCUCAAUUCUUUCCAUACUUACAAGUAUAAUAAUAAUUCAAAUUCAUCCAAUCUUUCACUACUAAUCCUCAUCCCAUAUUUUCCAUCAAUAUAACAUCACCUAAUUCCUCAAUUUUUUUUUUAUUUCUACAAGUCCCAAGUAAGAAACUCUCAAAUAAUCAAUUUCUGUAACCCCUAGGAUACAAUAGGUACUCAUUCACAUAAUAUUCAAAUUACUCCCACAGUCAGGCAUCCAAAACUUUAAGUCUAGGAUACACUACGAGAUCUAGGGCCUGGGCUCUGAUACCAACUGUGACAGCCCCACCUCCCCCUAAGGCGAACCAAAGGGUUCGGCGGACCACCUGCCCAACUCUCGCCGGGACUCACUACAGUCCUCAACUAAAAUACAUCACUCACAUCCAAUAACAUAGGGCACAACCUCAAGAAUAAACGAAAUAACAUUUUUCAAACUUAGAACGAGAUAAGAUACAUUACAAAUCUCAAGUAAGGGUAUCAUUCCCCGAAUAAAAUAAAAGUCCUCAGUUCUCAAAUAAUUACAUCAAAUACUUAUCAAGAGAAUCGAAUUCAAAUUAUAUAUGAGAUAUCCUUUCAGGCACUAAUCACUCAAUACAAGCGCUUUCUUUGGCCUCGAGCCUUGUGGGAAAAAAUUAUUUUUGGGGGUCACUAAUUAAGUCUCAGAACUUCCACUUCCAAACCUGUUAAGGAAAACAAAUUGGGGUGAGCUAACGCUCAGUGAGGCCAAGGGAAAAACAUGCAAGCAUGCUAGCAAAGAUACAAUAUAAAGCAAUAACUCGAGUAACCAAUAAUUGCGAAACAUUAAGCAAUUAGAGAAUUUAAUCACAAUAAAAGGAUACGGGAGCUCUCAGGAGCUAAUCCACGCGCGAUCCAAGCUCAGGUAGUUGACCCUCCGUCAACUUUCACAGUUAUCCAUGUAGAACUCCACUUACUACCUCCAGCCACCAUGACACCCUCUUGGAUCCGUAACCAAACAAGCAUGUAGGUGGUAUCAUUUAACAAGUAUACCUAGCAAGACCCCUUAUUUGGAUCAAGCUAUAACACUGCCCAAGAUUCACCAAGUUUCUCGACCAAGCCCUUGCCGGCUCGAGUUACAAGGCUAGCCAAUGGGUUGGGGCGUCCCCCCCAUUCACUUUUAGGUUGAUGAGACGAAACUCCAAUCGACAAGAUUUGGUCAUAGCAUUGAGACGGGAUGAGCGGUACCUCCUACCCUAAAAGGGCAUGAUACAUUCUGCUGCUCAAUGCUCACGAAAAACACUUUCAUUUGCAUUCACAUGUAACACGUAUCACUUAUUAAGCAAGCAAUUUCAUGAAAGAGAGGACAAGGGCGAUAAAGUACGCCCUAGCCUCAUUAACUAGCAAGUACAAGAAUCAUUUCAUUUAAACACUUCACAUGCACUUGAUACUCACCAAGUAUCAAAAGUCAAAGUUUGAGAAAUUAGCUCUAAGACGCUUCGCCGGGAGUUCCCUCGAAGUCCUCUUGAGAUCCUAAAAGUAUGCAAUAAUGCAUUGUAUCUCAAAUUCCAGGCCAUACAGUAUUCGUGUAAAGAAAAGAAAUUGUCAAUUUUGACUCCAAAAUUCAAGUUUCCAAAGUAUUUCAGUUCAUAAGAAACCGACUUUCAAAUGAGGUCUCAAGUGAUAGGUAAACUCAAGUUCACCAUGAAAAUAGGUUUGAAAUGCUCUAAGAGUUGUAAAAAUGUAACCUAGGCCCUUAAAAGAACAUUUAGGUCCAAAUUGGAAAUUUUCAUUUUUCUCGUCAUUCUUGGAAAAAUCAGUUCGGAAGUUCGGAAAGUCUAAAAAUGGAAAAUUUUACACCGUCAAAAACUUCAUUCGAAGCAUAACAACUUUACAGAAGGUCACUUUCCAAGAAUCAAAUCAGAAACAAGUCAAUUUCUCCAAGAAAGUUUACUAUGCAUUGAAGAUAGGUCAAAACAGUCCAAGUUUUCCCAAUAAUUUUGGAAUUUCGUUAAAAAUCAUAGAAUCAAAACUAGCCUUUGAAAUUUGAUAUGCAUGUAAAUUUCCAAUCCAGGUUUCAAAUAAAAAAAAAUGGAACUCGAUUCCGAUGUUCCUUGCUCAAGAAAUAAAAAGUUUAAGUUCACUAAAAUUCCUGGACUGUUGGCCUUUCCAGAAAUUUUCCAGAUUUAAUGCACUUCGCUAAUUAGGCCGUAUCUCACUCGAUUCUCAGUGAAAUUGAAAACGGUUGGUGGAUUUAGAAACUAGGUUUACAAGGCUAUAUUUGUGUAGAAGAAAUCAUUUCCAAAAUCCAGACAUAAGUGGUUCAAAAUCAAGCAGAAAAAUGGAUUUUCUGGACAGUCUCGGAUGAACAGUAAUAAGCAGGCAGCCAACUUUCAAAACUCGCCACGAGUCGCUCGGGAUGAACUAGAAAAUGAGCUUGGUACCAUUUUAAAGCUCUAAGAGUCUACUUUCAAAUGCUGCAAAUGGCAGUCCAGUUCGAUCAACGAGCAAAACGUUAUAGCUACACAAAUGUUGCUGGUCAGAAAAUUCUGGAGCUUGUUCCAGUUUUGCUUCUUUACUUGUAACUCAAAAUUUAACCAACCAUUUGGGUUGAUUUUUGGUAGACAACCACAAUACACAUAACACAACAUAUCUACACCAAUUUGGAAGCUCAAUUUGCACCAGAAAAUUUUCGAAAUUACAGGGCAGCAGCAAACAAGAAAGUCGGCAGCAAGUCAGAAAUUUCAGACAGUACCUUUUCCAAAUUUCUAACUUUCUUCCAACUUCAUUCCAUCAAUCAUUCUAUAUACAUGUAACAUAGCACAAUAUCAGCAACCAAAACAUGUUAAUUCAUCAAAUCAGCCACCAAUAAGCAUCCUCAAACCCUCGAGCAUGUCAUGAAAUUGCAAGAACAUAAUUACUCAACCAAUCAACCCAAAUUCUACCAUAGGUUGCAAACCCAUGCUACCUUUGCUCCAUUUGAGCUAUAAUUUUGCAAGAUUGAAGUGUGGGUGAGUGAGUUACCUCAAAAACUUAGUUGGACAGCUUUAGAGCAGAAAUCUUGACCGAAAUUCCUCCAAGAAAACCGAUGAACAGCCCCCUCUUCCAAGCUAGGAUCAAAGCCCUCUAAUGGAUGAUGAAAUUUGGAAGUGGAUUGAGGUAAUUUUGUAAGGAUUUUGGCUAGAUUUUUCUUCCCAUCUUCUGCCCAAUAGAGAGUGACGAGAGGAGAGAGAAUGAAAUCAG